GAAUCCACUUACUGUAAGUUGCUCUGGAUAAGAGUGUCUGCUAAAUGACUCAAA
rfam:Salmo salar isolate Sally breed double haploid chromosome ssa26, whole genome shotgun sequence.